UUAAUCAAACAUGUUUAUAGAUUCAUUUUGUUCAAUUGAACACAGAAGAGAUAAAAGUGAAGUGGGUGCCACACAGUGCCAUGUUCAAUAACCAAUCAAGAAAAAUUAAACCAGUGGACCUGAUUCAUCACGUCAACAGGAAUCGAUUGACAUAAAACCCUAUCUUCUGAAUAGUGAAACUAUCUCAUUGAAGAAUAGUAUCAUCUGCGUAUUCCUGCUAUCACAUCAUCAUAACUUACGAACGAACAGUGCAGUUUAAUGGAUCAAAUUGAUGCAGCCUGUAUUAUCAAAAUAUUUCCUUUUCUCUUUCCAGGAAAAUGUUACACAAGGAACUUAAAGACGAAACAGUCCCAACUUUCAGCGAUCUGUGAAGGUCUAUGCUCUCUGCUCGACAUAGGAACCAGCUAGUCCAGAAGUCCCAAGAACUGUAACCUGGAGUGAGAAAGCCAGAGCGCAUUGUGAGAAAACAAGUAAAGCUAAAUUCUUCAGGAGAUCUCAUAUAGGUGUCCAUUAUUUUCACGCAAGAAAGUAAACAAAUCACGAUUUACAACCACAUAGGCUACUUCCAUUAGUACAAUAAAUUCAGCAUAACAACAAAAUAAUAUGACUUUUUCUACAUAACAAAGCUACCAUCUGAUCCUAUGCCUGUUGAGCAAAUUGAGACACAAAAAGGGACGAUU
rnacentral:lncRNA from 1 species